AUUGAACGCUGGCGGCAUGCUUUACACAUGCAAGUCGGACGGCAGCACAGAGAAGCUUGCUUCUUGGGUGGCGAGUGGCGAACGGGUGAGUAAUAUAUCGGAACGUACCGAGUAAUGGGGGAUAACUAAUCGAAAGAUUAGCUAAUACCGCAUAUUCUCUGAGGAGGAAAGCAGGGGACCUUCGGGCCUUGCGUUAUUCGAGCGGCCGAUAUCUGAUUAGCUAGUUGGUGGGGUAAAGGCCUACCAAGGCGACGAUCAGUAGCGGGUCUGAAAGGAUGAUCCGCCACACUGGGACUGAGACACGGCCCAGACUCCUACGGGAGGCAGCAGUGGGGAAUUUUGGACAAAGGGCGCAAGCCUGAUCCAGCCAUGCCGCGUGUCUGAAGAAGGCCUUCGGGUUGUAAAGGACUUUUGUCAGGGAAGAAAAGGCUGUUGCUAAUACCGACAGCUGAUGACGGUACCUGAAGAAUAAGCACCGGCUAACUACGUG
rnacentral:rRNA from 1 species